rnacentral:lncRNA from 11 species
UCAAUUAUUUAGAAUGCUGGUAGCAAACUUUGAUUGAUAAAUCUAACCUUUCCUUUCCUGGCUAUAGUUUGAUCACACAGUGAUGAGAAUGAGUUAGAGAAUGGAAGAAUAAUAUUUGGAUUUCAACACAAUAAUGAAAAUGCAGAGACUGCCUUUGACUUUUACAAGAUCAUUCCUAAAAUUGGACAUUGGAAAUAGCCAAGAAGCUAGGACAUGAUGCAUUUUAUAUGGG